rnacentral:lncRNA from 1 species
UGUUUGAUGACGGAGAAACCCCAAUGUGGGUAAAACUCCGGGCCCAAGCCAGUAGGAAUCCACUAUAAACGUAAAUGAAACUUACAAUCAGCCAGACUCAACCUACACUGGUUUUUCUAACAUCCUGACCAUAGUUUCCUCAAGCCCUUCUUGGAAUGUGUGAUCUUGCACCAACUCCAGGCACCUAGCCAUCUUGGAUUGCGUGCUAUACCAAUUCCCAAGUCUUGAUUUUGUUUAUCUCCUGUGGAUUCAAGAAAAUCGCCUGUUUUCUAAUGAUCGGGACUCCGAUCCUUUCUCGAUCUCCAAGAAUCAACAAAGGUACUAGAAGAUUGUGUUGUGGUGUUUGAUGAAUGUUGAUUUGAUCUUUUUCAUGUAAUUGAUCAAAUCAAAUAUAGGGUUGAAUGAGAAAGUUAAAGUGUAGGAGAGUUGUCCUCAAUUUCAAUACCUUCAAAGCACUAUCUGAAUUCGACGCGGUUUUUUUUCAUGUAUAUCUCUUUUUGGUAUUUCUGGUCGGGUUAAAAUGUCGAAAAAAGGAAAAUAGGGUUUUAUGGGUAACACUGUCGCUCGAGCGACAAGCGAGCGACACUGUUUUGCUUGAGCGAAGUGGGGGCGAAAAGCGAGCGACGACCAUUCUGUUUUUGUCGCUCGAGCAACCACUUGGCGAGCAGCUAGUGAAACUUCGACGACACAUCUUGCCCUACUUCAUAGAUCGAAUCCUAACCCUCAUCUUUUACACAUGUACACAAUGACCCCUAAACUUUAAUAAUUGAUAAAUUGACCCCAAAGUUUUGAGCAUUUACACUUUUACCCUUUUGUUCAUGGAAUAGCCAACACAAAAUCUAACAAAUUCCCCCUUUGGCAUUCUGUGACAAAAUCAAGUUACAGCAGCAAUAACAAUCCAAUACAUAGACUCAACUCACUGUUGCCUUGUCAUCUUUCAACCUAUCUCCUGAAAUCACAACUCACAUACCCAGUGUAAAAGCACGAGAAACAGUAACAUAAGUACAUAAAAGGUAAAGAGUCAUGAAUAGCCAUAACAAUGUACGAAUAUGCUAGAUUAAGAGAUAAUAUUAAUAUCAAUGUAAGUCAAACAACCAAAAACAUACAUCAAUAGUGCAAAGCAUCAAUACAUAAUCCAGCCAUAUCAUUAUAAUACAUUAUCAUUAUAAAUCCCAAAAACACUCCCCCCCUUUUUGUCAGAAAUGGCAAGGGGAACUCCAAUCAACUAAGAAGGACCAUCAUCUCCGCCAUCCACAUCCUCAGAAUCCUCAGCAUCAGAUUCAUAAUCCCAGUGCUCACGCAUCCACCGAAUACUGCGCUGAACAAGAGUAAUGUCAGCCAUCAUGCAGGCCUGCUGCUCAAUGAGAAUCGACAUCUGACUCAUAAGUGCGACAGUGGGGUCAACAGGAACAGUAGCUGGAGCAGGCUAGUUGGGUGGCAGAAUAGAAGUGGAAGAAGAGGGAAUAUCUGAAGUGGACGAAGGAACCUCGGAAGGAGGCAGAGGAAUAGCUGAGAGAUCAGCAAGUAAAUCACCUAAAGGAUCAGCAGGCACUGUCGGGUCAACAGGCUCAGUUGGCUCAGCAGGAGCAAAGGCAAAGGCAGAAGAGGUGACAUGUGAUCUACUUUGAGAUAUGGUAGUGUGCCCUAUGGGACGAAGCACUCGUCGUGAGACCCCAUCGGGAAAGAAAGCCCCAAGUGAUGUCACCAAGCGGUGGAUUAAGCAAGCAUACGGUAGGGAAAAAGCAAAAAGAAACCUCACCUUGUCCAUAGGUAGGGAAAAAGUGUGGGAGAUGGGCCACAAAUUUGUACACACAAUACGCAACAAAAUUUGCCUAUCGGUGGAGAGCGAACCAGUGCGGAUCGCCUCAGGCCCCCCCAAGGGCUAUUAAACAAGGUGGACCGAACCAGAGAAUCGGCCGAAAUAGAAUCAGCCAAGAGAUAGGCAUAAACGGGGUGAAUGACCUAGGGAACAUGUAUGGAACUGGAAAUAACAUCAGGGGAAAUCCUAAGGAUUUGACACCGGAGGAACACCCAGAAGGACGAACCACUAAUGUCAUGAAUGUUUGCAUAGAACUCCUGAACAAGAAGACUAGGCGGGGGAUUUAACCCAAUCAACAAGGAUUCCCAACCCCGAGAAGUAAAGAUAGCUGCCACAUCAGGUGAUAGAUCGGAUAGAGUAACCUCACGCUCGACUAGGAUGGGACGACGAGAAAACUGGCUCCCAAAGACUUCUUGAGCAGUGGAGGAAAUGAACCGAGAAUGACUAAACGAACACGAUCCACUGCCAGGCUGAGCUGUGGUCCUAACCCACUUGGGUGCCAUCUGUAGUGCGAGAUGUAGAAGAUAAGUCAAUCCCCAAGGAAAACGAAGUGAAGGAGACACAUAACUAGACAAGCCCUAAAAGGCAAUCACACACAAGCCCGUGGACUAUGAGCAACACGGAUGGGACGUGAACUAGACAUAAACAAGAUCAAGAUGAAAUUGUGACACACAUAAAAACUUCCAAUAGAAAUGGAGAGUUGACGAGUCCUAUGUCAAACAAUUCUCCAAACGUAUUACAGGCAAAUCGACCAACCAGUGUCGAGUUGAGAGAAAAAAAACGAGAGAGAAAGGGAAGAAAUGAAAAAAAAAAAGAGGCGAAAGGGCGCGAGAAAAUAAAAGGUCUCGAUGUUGCUCGAGCGAGACUCGAGCGAACAGCGAGCGACAAAGACACUGCUUCUGUCGUUUGAGCGAGAUCCCAGCGACAAGCAAUCGACAGGGAAAUGACAAAAAUAGCACCUAAACUUGAAAAGUUGAAAAGUUAGGCCCAGGUUUAAAAUUUAGCAAAGUAACAACCUUUAGAAACUUUCAAAAAUAGGACCUUUUUCAGAAAUUUGAAUUUAGACCCCAAUUUUUUUUUUAAAUUUAAAAUGCACGAACAAUGCAGAGGCAAUUGGUCCAAUCAAAGGCAAUAGAUAACAAAUACGGCACGCACAGUGAUUAGAAAAUGGUUACCCACACACUGGAACCAAGUACAGAUGGAGUAAAUUGUAUAUGUGACCCCUCGUGAAACGUGCCACUCAUUCCAAGAAAGUAAGACUCAAACCUUAAAUUUGUGAGAAGAGACAACCAAAUCACUGACGUAGGAGUCAACACUUAGAUGUGUGAAGGUCAAAUCCAAUGCCACUAUGACCUAUACUUCAUUAAAAUAUGGUGUAAAACUGUUCUUUCUUCCCCUGUUGUUAAGGACCUAAAAAAAAAUUUUAAAUUUUACGUGCAAUCCCAUCUCCAUUAAGCUACUAAGAAGACCCCUGUAAUGAGCGUUGGGUUGGCGACUCCCAAACCAGUUGGCUUUAGGGCACCAGGUUAUGAGAAACCCCUUAGACUUAAUUGCUCGAGUCAUUUAGGCUCCGAAGAUAUGUAUAAGAUGUGAUAUAAUAAAUACUCUGUGGAAACCCACGGGGGUACACCAGAAGUUAGGUCAUUUAGUCCAAGAUCAAUUCAAACCCAAUGUCUACUCAACGACAGAUGAUAGCCAUCCCAAGUCUCACACAUGCGGUCAAAACUCACUCAUACGGUCCUAGUGUGUGUUGUGCAAAUAUAAUAUGAAGUGACAUAUACUAAGUACUCCAUACAGACUCAGGAUAAGUGACGGGAAUUACAAACUAAUCAUGUGUAGAAUGCACAUUUGAUUUCAAAUUGCAACUCCGAGGGAACAACUACAAAGCAAAAAUGACAUGUGAUGAUCAAUCUCCCUUUUUUCUAAAUGCAAAUGAACACACAGAGGUAACGUAAUGAAUGAAAAGAAAUGCAUGCAUCUAUGAAGACGAUCAGGGAGGAACAAAGAUGCCAAUAGCCUUCCUAAGUGACUCGAAUCUAAACCCAUCUAGAGGUUUAGUGAACAGAUCGGCAAGUUGAUUUUCAGUAGAGAUGGGUUCAAGAGAAAUCACAUUAGACUCAACUAGUUCACGAAUAAAGUGAUGAUGAAUGUCAAUGUGUUUGGUCCUAGAAUGCUGAACCGGAUUUUUUGAUAUGUUGAUAGCACUAGUAUUGUCACAGAAAACAGUUAGAGUACCCUGAUUUAUCCCAUAGUCACUCAGCAUUUGCUUCAUCCAAAGCAGUCAAGUGCAACAGCUACCAGCUGAAAUGCAUUCUGCCUCGGCUGUGGACAAGGAGACUGAGUUUUGUUUCUUACUCAUCCAGGAGACAAGAUUAGAACCAACAUAGAAACAUCCACCCGAGGUACUUUUUCUAUCGUCGGCGUUUCCAGCCCAAUCGACAUCAAAAUAGCCGGCUAGUUCUAGAUUGGACUCUUUGGAAUACAAGAUCCCAUGAUCUACUGUCCCAUUGACAUAUCUAAUAAUGCGCCUCACUGCACUUAGAUGGGACUACUUAGGAUCAGUUUGAAAUCUAGCACAUACACCAACACUAAACGCUAUGUCAAGUCUACUGACAGUAUGAUAUAGUAAACUGCCUAUCAUACUCCUAUACACAGUCUGAUCAACACUCUUACUUGUAGGAUCAUGUCCUAACUUAACAUUUGUGCUCAUGGGUGUCCUUGUGUGUUUCUUACUGUCCAAACUAAAUCUCUUCACAAGGUCUUUGGCAUAUUUUGAUUGAGAGAUAAACAACCCACAAUUAGUUUGCUUUACUUGAAGACCAAGGAAGUAACUUAGCUCCCCAACCAUACUCAUUUCAAAUUCUUGUUUCAUGCAUUCAGCAAAUUCAAGAGAAAUGGAAUCAAUGGGAGAGCCAAAGGUGAUGUCAUCGACAUAUAUCUAAGCUACAGUGAUAGUUUUUUCAAUAUGUCUAAUGAAUAAGGUUCUGUCAGCACCACCACGUGAGAACCCAUGCUCAAUGAGGUAAGUAGUGAGUCUAUCAUACCAAGCUCUAGGAGCUUGUUUUGGACCAUACAGUGCUUUAUUUAGUUUGUAGACAUAAUGAGGAAACUUAGGGUCAAUAAAUCCUUUCAACUGUUUAACGUACGCCUCUUCUUGGAGUAUUCCAUUCAAGAAUGCACUUAUGACAUCCAUUUGAUAUAGCUUGAACCCUAAGGUACAUGCAACAGCAAGAAGAAUACGAAUGGACUCAAGAUGAGCAACUGGGGCAAAAGUCUCAUCAAAAUCUACCCCUUCCACCUGAGUGUACCCCUGGGCGACUGUCUAGCCUUAUUCCUAGUUAUAGUACCUUGGUCAUCGGUUUUCUUCUUGAAAAUCCACUUUGUACCUAUCACAUUAGAAUCAUUAGGCCUAGGAACUAGAUUCCAAACAUUAUUUCGAACGAAUUGAUUAAGCUCCUCAUGCAUGUCAUUCACCCAGCAUUCAUCUCUAAGGGCUUCCUCUACUUUUUCAGGUUCAAUCUAGGAUACAUAGCUAGUAUAUGUUAGGUUAUUUAGAACUCUCCUUCGUAACCUCACUCCUUCAUCCAAAGCCCUAAUGAUGUUAACCUUAGGAUGAUUAGAUUUGACCCUUGAAGAUGGUUCUCUAGAAAGCUUAGACUGAUCCCAAUUUGGUAGACCUUGCUCAGAUAUGUUUUCUGAGGAUUGUGGAGAUUUUAGGAUUGAGUGUUCUUUAUUUUCAGUAGUGGCUCCUUGAUCUUCACUUAGAUCUUCUAUGUCAACCCCAUUUUCAGCACUUUCUCCCUCAGUGAAGGCAUCAUCAAUAACAACAUUUACAGAUUCCAAGACAUUUUGAGUACGCAAGUUGCAAACUCGGUAUGCUCUAUUGUUCUUAGAAUAUCCUAGAAAAAUCCCAUCAUCACUUUUGGAAUCAAACUUGCCUAGAUGUUCUCUAUCCCUCAGGAUGUAACAUUUGCUGCCAAACACCCGAAAGUAUUUAACAGUAGGCUUCUUGCCUUUCCAAAUCUCAUAGGGAGUCUUUUCUGAUUUCGGUCUCAAGUAUACCUUAUUUAUUAUCUGGCACAAGGUGUUAAUUGCUUCACCCCAGAAAUACAUUGCUAGAUCCUUACCGUGAAGCAUGGCCCUAGCCAUUUCUUGAAGCACUCUAUUCUUCUUCUCAACAACUCCAUUUUGCUGUGGCGUGAUUGGUUAGGAGAACUCAUGCUUAAUCCCCUCCUCCAAGUAGAAGUUUUCUAGAUUGAAGUUUUCAAAUUCUUUUCCAUGAUCACUUCAAACCCUAGAAAUAGGAAGAUUUUGUUCAACUUUGAGUCUUUUGCAUAAGGACUUAACCAGAUCAGCCGUCUCAGAUUUUUCUCUUAACAGAUCAAUCCAGGUGAAUCUAGAAAAAUCAUCUACCACAACCAGGAUAUACUGUUUGCCUCCUAGGCUCUCUACCCUAGAUGGUUCCAUUAAAUCCAUAUGGAAAAGCUCUAGGGGUCUAUUCGUCAAGAUUUUCGAGGUUCACUUAUGGUUUAUCCUGAAUUGCUUUCCUUGUUGACACGGCUUGCACACAGCAUUCUCACUUUGAUCAAUCUUAGGUAAACCAUCGACAAUCUUCUUUCGGACCAAUUUAGAUAGAUUUCUGUAGUUAACAUGAUCGAGUCUUUGAUGCCAAAGUUCAAACAUAUCAAUUUUAGCACUACUGCAUACAUAGUUCGAGUUUGGAAGAACUUCAUAACAAUUAUCAGAUGCUCUAAUACCUUCAAGAACAACACCACCAGAAGCAUCAUAAAUAGUGCAUCUCUUUUGGAUAAAACUCACUUCAUAGUCAGCAUCACAGAUUUGACUAAUGCUCAAUAAGUUGAACUUAAGGCCCUUUACAUAAAGUACAUUGGAUAUUGUAUGAAGUCCAGCAAUGGUGAUGGAGCCUUUACCUCGGAUGGGUGCCAUAGCUCCAUCCCCAAAAGUAACUACACCGCCGUUACAGUCGUCAAAGGUAGAGAAUAAGGCCUUAUUACCACAUAUGUGUCUAGAACAAGCACUAUCAAGAUACCACAUGCAUGUAUUUUGUGCCUUAUAUGCAACAUGAGCAACAAAACAUUUUAGAUUCUCAAUAUACUCACCCACAUCAGAUUUCUUUACCCAAAUUUUUCUCGAGGUCGAGAUGAUCCUACUCAACCUUGUUACCAUCUCAGUUAAGUGGCUAACCUGAUUUGAAAGUAAGUUCACUUGACUAGGGAUAUCCUGAUUUCGAUUCCUAUUUGCUAGCUUUCGACACCUAGGUCUCGUGUGGCCUAAGGCACCACAGUGAUGACAAGUGGGUAUGAAUCUAGGUUCAAAUGUACGUGAGUGUUGAUUAUGAAAAUUAGGUGUAGAGAUCUUAUGAGCUCUAGUGGCCUUUAGUCCAUUAAAAUUUUUGACUUUGGAUUCUGGAUUUGUUGAAACGUUAGAUCUGUUGGAAGCAUGGACAAAUGUGGUCUUUGAUAAACUAGACAUAUUACUAUCACUCUUUACAAAUCCUAGACCUUGCCUAUUUCCAGCUGGUUUUUUCAUUCCUAACAAAUCGUCUAGUUUCUUAAUUCCAUUCACAAAUGAUUGCAGUUGAGUGUUGGAUCUCUCUAAUUCAUAGGUCAAUGUCUUGACCCUGCCCUCUAAUCUCUCAUUGACAUACUUCAACUCACUUAGAUUCUUAGAUGAGAUUUGAAGGUCAUAGGUGAUUUUCUCCUUCUCUCUCUCAAGCUUGUCUACCUUCUUAAAAAGGGCUUUAUUUACCUUUUUGAUCUUGAGACUCUCCUUAAACAGGAGUUGAUAAGUCUCAUGUAUAUCCGUCUCAUCCUCCGAAUCAUCACCGAACUUGUUACUCUCCACUUCCUCCUCAACCUUCUCACUCUCCUUGUCUAACUCGCUCUUGACAGUAGAUACAAAAGCCAUAUAGCCCUUUUCCUCCUCACUGCUUGAGGAAUCACUUUGUUCACUUAAAUUAGAAUCAUCAUCAGUCAAGGACACAGUUAAUGCCUUCCUAUUCCCUUUCUUUAGAUUUUUCUUAAAGUUAGGACAUUCAUUUCUAUAGUGCCCAAAUUCCUGACACUCAUGACACCUAACCCCUUGAGAUUUUUGUAAUACUUUAAACAAAAAAAGAAAAGAAAAGUCAAACUUCAAAAAAAAAAUUACAAAAGAUAAAAACCAAAAUGAAAGGCGGCUAUCAAACCAACCCAUUUCCAAUGUGUGUGUGUGUGUGUGUACGUAUAUAUAUACAUAUAUAUAAUCCAAACCUUUAACAUACGCUUUAGACACACCAAAACAAAAAAGGGACCAGAGAAGAAAAAGAGAAAGGAAAAAGAGGGGAAAAAAAGAAAAAGAGGAAGAAAAAGAAAAAAAAAGGGAAAAAUUCGCCAACGUGUUAGGAAUUAAGUGCUCUAUCCUAUUAGGCUUGAAUUCCUCAAUUUUGAAAGAUAAGUAAAAAGUUACUUAUUGAAAGGUUAUAUUUGAUUUUAUAGUUGUUAGAUUGUUAGAUUAAAUUUAAUUUUAUUGAAGGGAUUAAGUAUAAUAAACUAUGAAAUUGAGUAAAGUGAAAGAAAAAUUAAUUUUAGUAGUUAAAGAGACUCUAGAAAUCGCCUAAACGUGAAAUAAUUAUGUUUAGGUAUCGCCUAUUUAAUUAUUGAAAUUACUUAAAUUAGUUAAUUGUUGAUUUAAAAAUUAUAUUAUAUUCACACGAUGAUACGGAUAUUGGGACAGCGUACCAAUCGAAUUGAUUUUGACGUACAUAGUUCUGUGAGCGAAAAAAUAUAAAUAUUUUUAAAGUAUUUAUAAAUUAAGUAUAUUGUUAAAGUAUGUGCAAUUAUAUACAAUUAUGUGUUCGAACUAAAUGGUUAUUAUGGAAAUCUCUCUUAUUAUGAUACAUGUGGAAUAUCAAAUAUUAUUUAUGACAUAUUUGUGACUUGGUAUAUAAGACAUGUGAUAUUGAGUUUUGUUUGGUAUGUGAGACCUACAAUAUUGAAAUCGGUCAGAAAAGUACCUAUGAUUAUAUACUUCUUCUAGUUCACAGAGGGGCCUUGGCCGUGUUCUAUCCUACACGGAGGGUCUUGACCUGACAUUGGUCUUGAUCGUGUACAUAUAAUUCAUAGAGGGGCCUUGACCGUGUUCUAGAAUUGAUUAUGAGAGGUAUUCGAGACCGGCUUUCGUUCACGGAGGGGGCCAAAGGCCUGUGGCGAAAAUUCUUAGCCCGAGAGGUGGAUUACAUAUUUCAAUCAGAUGGUAAAUUUUUGGUAAAUUUUUCAGCACAUUUGAUGUGAUGAGAUUAUAGCAUGAUUUUCAGCUAAUGUUAUAUCAUAAUUUUAAGAUGAAAUUGUAUGACCUUUUGUGAAUAUUUCAUUUUUUUUACUAUAAUUACAUGAUGGUAGCCUGUGAAUUAUCAAAUGAUAUGAAUUUGAUUUUCAAUGAAAAUUUAUAAAUGAAAAAGUAUAUUUAUUUUGAACUUCUCCACUCACUGAGCUAUCAACUCAUAUAUUUUUCCACAUUUUUCUUUAUCAGGCAGCAGUUGAGAAUUUGGGCAUCUUUGGAGUUGAGACUUGAUUUUGGAGUUAGAGCCACACGACAGAGUUUGUUAGUAUGACUCACUUCAUAGAACAUGUAAUCAGUAUUUUGGGACGCACGUUCAUGUCUAGAUGUGAUUUUACAUCACUUGUAGAUAGUUAUGGGGCUCAUUAUGUAAUAUGUAUCCAUAUGUAUAUUUCAUUGUAUUUCUUGGGUAAAAGUGAAGAUUUCGACUUAUCUUUAUUGUGCUAUGCUAUAGUUUGGGAUUUGUGUGAAAUUGAUCACAGGUUGGUUAGUCUUGUUUACAGGGGAGAUAAUGCCGAAAUUUUGUUAGAAAAAUGAUGUAUAAAAGGUGAUAUAUUGUAUUUGUAGUAGCCUUGAUGGUGAGUCCGACUUUUAGUUGGUAUCUAUCAUCGGCGCAUGCCACGUCCGGAUCUAGUGGUGUUACACGGGGCGGGGUGUGUCAAUUUGGUAUCAGAGCAUGCAUUAGAGUUCAUGGGUUUGCAUUGUACAUGCAUACAUUCUCAUAUUUAGCAUAUCAUGCGUAACUAUAGGUGAGUCAUGCCUCGUGGUGGCAAAACUCGAAAGCUCCAAGAUAUGUUGCCUCAGUCUCACAUUGCUCUUGUUACCGACGAACUAAGAGAGCCCGAGAGAGUAGAUGAAUCAGUUCACCAGCCUCCUGAACAACAGGGACAGGGAAAUGUGAUUGGAACUGAUCCUAUUGCUGUUGAAAGAACUGCUAUUGUCGUUGCAUCUUCUAAGCGUAAUACUGAUAGAGAUUUUAGUAUUGAAAGGGCUACAAAGUUAGGGGCUAAAGUGUUCACUGGCACAGUCGAUCCUACAGUUGCACAGGCAUGGAUGACAAAGAUAGAGAAGGUAUUUGACAUUAUGGGUUGCUCAGACGAUCGGAAGUUGUGUCUUGCCACCUUCUUAUUAGAGGAGGGUGCGUAUGAUUGGUAGCAGUCAGUACGGAGCACAUAUCUAGACCCUUCCAUCAUUACUUGGACAGAUUUUCAUCGUAUCUUUUACGAAGCCUAUUACCUUCUGUCCUAUAAAGAUGCAAAGCAGGAGGAAUUUUUGAAAUUAGUACAAGGCCAGAUGACUAUUGCAGAAUCUCAGGUGAAAUUUAUUGAACUUUCAAAAUAUGCCCAAGUUCUGGUAAGCAACGAAAUUAAUAAAUGCAGACGGUUUGAAAAUGGGUCAAGAGAAGAAAUCAAGUCAGUAAUAACAGCUACAGGCUGGAAUGAAUUUGGCAAAUUGGUGGAAUCAGCUUUGAGAGUAGAAAAGAGCAUUUUUGAUAGGCCAAGUGGUAGAGAACAAACAAUGUUCAGAGCAAGCGGUAGUCAGACAGUGGCAAGUGCUUCUAGCUAUAGACCACCACGGAGGGACAGUAGAGGAUUUCGACCUGGUGUGUCCAGUUUAGGUCAAUUCAAAUCUCGACUCCGAGGAAGUCAGGGUCCUAGAUUUAGUCCCAAUACUGUACAACAGCCAUUGGCCAGUCGUAAUUAUACUCAGGGUUCUUUCCAAAGAUCAUUUAUUUCGAGACAAGGAGAGAGUUCUACUAGUGCCAGAUUUUCUUCUUGCCAAUUAUGUGGAAGAUCUCAUCCUGGAGAAUGUUUAAAGUUCAAGGGAGUUAGUGUUUACUAUCGCUGUGGCCAAGAAGGACAUCUGAAAAGGAAUUGCCAAGUUGUAUUCCAGGAGGGUGGCAUGGCACAGAGGAUGUUUCCUCAGCAAAGUGCUGGUAGUACAAGACAGAAUCAGACUCAGAGAGAUGAUUCAGCUAACAAAGCAAGUACUAAUAGUGUGCCCCAGUCUAAUAUCGCAAGCGGUAGUGGUACAAAAUCAAAAGGGCAAGCAGGACGACCGAAGACCCAGGGCAAGGUUUUUGCUAUGACUCAACAGGCGGCAGAGGAGUCACCAGAUGUUAUCAUGGGUAUGUUGUCUAUUUUUGAUAGAAAUGCUUGUAUUUUGAUUGAUCCUGGAUCUACACAUUCUUUUAUGUCAUUUGCAUUUGCUUUAUAUGUGAAUCAAAAGCCAGAACUUUUAGGCAGUUGUUUGGUUGUGAAUACAUCAGUAGGAGAAUCACUAUUAGCAAAUAAUAUAUAUCAAGAUUGUGGAAUUAAGGUAAAGCAAAAUGAGCUGAAGGCAAAUUUAAUACCUCUUGACAUACAUGAUUUCGAUGUUAUCUUGGGUAUGGACUUUUUGGCAACAAAUCGAGCUUCAGUUGAUUGUUUUCGAAAGGAGGUUGUGUUUAGACAGCCUAAAGUUAUAUUCAAUGGACAGUGGAGAAUUUUACCAUCUUGUGUGAUAUCUGCUAUUGACGUUAGAAGAUUACUCAACAAGGGUUGCCAUGCAUAUUUGGCUCAUGUAAUUGAUACAGAUGUUAGCAAACUAAAACUUGAAGAUAUCCCAGUGGUCAAGGACUUUCUUGAUGUAUUUCCAGAAGAAUUACCAGGCUUACCAUCAGACAGAGAUAUGGAGUUCACUAUAGAUCUAAUUCCAGGAACUGUACUUAUUUCACGAGCAUCUUAUAGAAUGGCACCAGUAGAAUUGAAAGAGCUAAAGGUUCGGUUGCAAGAGUUGGUAGACAAGGGUUUCAUCAGACCUAGUAUAUCUCCGUGGGGAGCACCAGUUUUGUUUGUGAAAAAGAAAGAUAGCACCAUGCGACUGUGCAUAGAUUACAGACAAUUGAAUAAAGUGGUAAUUCGUAAUAAAUAUCCUUUGCCAUGUAUUGAUGACCCGUUUAAUCAGCUUUGAGGUGCUGCAGUAUUUUCAAAGAUUGAUUUGCGUUCUGGAUAUCAUCAACUUUAAAUCAGGGACAGUGAUGUGCCAAAAACUGAUUUCAGGACAAGGUAUGGUCAUUUUGAAUUUCUUGUGAUGCCAUUUGGUUUGACCAACGCACCAGUAGCAUUUAUGGAUAUGAUAAAAAGAGUGUUUCGCCCAUAUUUAGAUAGAUUUAUAAUUGUAUUCAUUGAUGAUAUUUUAGUAUACUCUCGAGAUCAUGAUGCUCUCAGAAUCAUCUUGCACACUAUACGUGAUGAGCAGUUGUAUGCUAAAUUCAGUAAAUGUGAAUUUUGGCUUGAUAAAGUUAUAUUUUUAGGACAUGUCAUAUCAGCAGAGAGAAUUUAUGUUGACCCACAGAAAACAGAGGCAGUGGUAAAAUGGGAAAGGCCUACUAAUGUGAUAGAAAUUCGAAGUUUUCUUGGCUUGGCAUGUUAUUAUCGUUGUUUUGUAGAGGGAUUUUCUAAAAUUGCUCUACCUUUGACCAGUUUGACUAGAAAGAAUGCUAAAAUUUGUUUGGAAUGAAAAUUGCUAAAAAAGUUUCCUCGAAUUGAAGAAUAGAUUAGUGUCAGCUCCAGUUCUUACCCUUCCAUCUCCCGGUGAAGAGUUUUGUGAUAUAUAGUGAUGUUUCACGUCAAGGUCUUGGUUGUGUUUUGAUGUAGAAUGGGAAAUUCAUAGCGUAUGCUUCCAGGCAGUUGAAGAAACAUGAACUGAGUUAUCCUACGCAUCACUUAGAGCUAGCUGCAGUUGUCCUGGCCUAGAAAAUUUAGAGACGUUACUUAUAUGGCGAGAGAUGCCAAAUGUAUACAGAUCAUAAAAGCUUAAAGUAUAUCUUCGAUCAAAAAGAGUUAAACUUGAGGCAAAGAAGAUAGUUAGAGCUGAUAAAAGAUUACGACUGCAAGAUUGAUUAUCAUCCAGGGAAGGCUAAUGUAGUAGCUAAUGCUCUCAGUCGGAAAAUAUCGAGUCCUAUGACCCAGACUAAUGCAAUAUAUUCAUCUUUGUUCAAUGAGUUCAGAGGUUCCCGUGCUCAAUUAUCAUUUACUAGUGUAGGAGCAUUGUUUGCUAACUUCCAAGUGAGGACUACUUUUAUUGACACAGUUAAAGAAACUCAAACUCAAGAUCCAGUGUUGAGCAAAUUGAAAGAAGAAGUUAGUAAAGGUAAGCAUACAGAUUAUACCAUUCGAAAUGACAAAGCUUUAGUUAUGGGAAACAGAUUAUGUGUUCCAGAUGAUUCGAAAUUGAAGGGAGAAAUUCUAGAAGAGGCACAUAGUUCAACUUACGCAAUGCAUCCAGGUAGUACAAAAAUGUAUCGUGUACUCAAAGAACACUAUUGGUGGCAUGAAAUGAAGAGAGAAAUAGCUGAAUUUGUAUCCAGAUGUCUCAUUUGCCGGCAAGUGAAACUAGAUCGUCAGAAAAUAGCAGGAUUGUUACAAACGUUGCCUAUUCUUGAAUGGAAAUGGAAACACAUUACUAUGGAUUUUCUAUUUGAACUUCCAUGGACUUAGAGUGGACAUGAUGGCAUAUGGAUCAUUGUAGAUAGAUUGACGAAGACUGCUAGAUUUUUGCCUAUUAAAGUCACUUACUCAUUAGAUAAAUUGGUAAAAAUAUAUGUUGAAGAGAUAAUCAGUUUAUAUGGGGCACCAGUAUCUAUUGUUUCAGAUAGAAAUUCUUGUUUCACUUCUAAAUUUUGGCCCAGUUUGUAGAAAGCUAUGGGUACUAAACUUCAUUUCAGUACAGCUUUUCAUCCACAAACAGAUGGUCAGUCAAAAAAAACUAUUCAGACUCUGGAAGACAUGUUACGAGCUUGUGUACUACAGUUCAAAGGGAAUUGGGAUACUCAUCUUUCUUUGAUGGAGUUUGCCUAUAAUAACAGUUAUCAUUUGAGUAUAGAAAUGGCUCCUUUUAAAGCACUGUAUGGUAGGAAAUGCAGAACUCCAGUAUGUUGGGAUGAAGUUGGUGAAAGAAAGCUAUUGGGUCAUGAAUAUGUCCAGAUUACUUCUGAGAAAGUAAAGAUAAUUAAAGAAAAGUUAAAAACAGCCAAGGUAGAUAGAAGAACUAUGCAGAUAGACGAAGAAGAAACUUUGAACUUGAUGUUGGAAAUAGAGUUUUCCUGCGAUUAUCUCCAUCGAAAGGUGUUAUCAGAUUUGGUAAACGAGGUAAAUUGAGUCCGAGGUAUAUUGGCCCAUAUGAGAUUGUUGAACGCAUCGGUCCAGUUGCGUAACGAUUGGCUUUGCCAACAGAAUUGUCCAGAAUUCAUGAUGUAUUCCAUGUUUCUAUGCUUCAUAAGUAUAUUCCAGAUCCAUUUCAUGUUUUGGAAUCACAACCUGUAGAGCUGAAGGAAAAUCUUACCUAUGAAGAAGAACCAGUUCAGAUAUUGGAUAGGAAAGAACAGGUUUUGCGUAGUAAGACUAUUCCUUUGGUUAAAGUCUUGUGAAUAAAUCAUGUUGUAGAAGAAGCGACAUGGGAAAGUGAAGAGCAGAUGCGUUCUCAGUAUCCACGACUUUUUCAUACUUGAUAAAUCGAAUUUCGAGGACGAAAUUCUUUUAAGAGGGUGAGUUUUGUAAUACAUUAAACAAAAAAAAAAUUCAAACUUCAACAAAAAAAAAAGAAAUUACAAAUGAUAAAAACCAAAAUGGAAGGCGGCUAUCAAACCAACCCAUUUCCAAUGUGUGUGUGUGUAUGUGUGUGUGUGCAUGUGUGUAAUUCAAAACUUUAACAUACACUUUACACACACCAAAACAAAAAACAGACCAAAGAAGAAAAAGAGAGAAAAAGAGAAAGGAAAAGAGGGGAAAAAAAAGAAAAAGAAGAAAAAAAGGAAAAAUUCGCCAACGUGUUAAGAAUUAAGUGUUCUAUCCUAUUAGGCUUGAAUUCCUCAAUUUUGAAAUGUAAGUAAAAAGUUACUUAUUGAAAGGUUAUGUUUGUUUUAUAGUUGUUAGAUUGUUAGAUUAAAUUUAAUUUUAUUGAAGGGGUUAAGUAUAAUAAACUAUGAAAUUAAGUAAAGUGAAAGAAAAAUUAAUUUUAGUUGUUAAAGAGACUCUAGAAAUCGCCUAAACGUGAAAUAAUUAUGUUUAGGUAUCGCCUAUUUAAUUAUUGAAAUUACUUAAAUUAGUUAAUUGUUGAUUUAAAAAUUAUAUUAUAUUUCAGGCGGCGAUACGGAUAUCGAGAUAGCGUACCAAUCGAAUUGAUUUUGGCGUACAUAGGUCUGUGAGUGGAAAAAUAUAAAUAUUUUUAAAGUAUUUAUAAAUUAAGUAUAUUGUUAAAGUAUGUGCAAUUAUAUGCAAUUAUGUGUUCGAAUUACAUUGUUAUUAUGAAAAUUUCUCUUAUUAUGAUACAUGUGGAAUAUCAAAGAUUAUUUAUGGCAUAUUUGUGACUAGGUAUAUAAGACAUGUGAUAUUAAGUUUUGUUUGGUAUGUGAGACAUGCAAUAUUGAGAUCGGCCAGAAAAGUACCCAUGAUUAUAUACUUCUUUUAGUUCACAGAGGGGUCUUGACUGUGUUCUAUCAUACACGGAGGGUCUUGACUUGACAUUGGUCUUGAUCGUGUACAUAUAGUUCACAAAGGGGCUUUGGCAGUAUUCUAGAAUUGAUUAUGAGAGGUCUUCGAGACCAGCUUUUGUUCACGGAGGAGGUCAAAAGCCCAUGACGAAAGUUUUUAGCCCGAAAGGCUAAUUACAUAUUUCAGUUAGAGGGUACAUUUUUUGUGAAUUUUUCAGCACGUUUGAUGUGAUGAGAUUAUAGCAUAAUUUUCAGCUGAUAUUAUAUCAUGAUUUUAAAAUGAUAUUGUAUGACCUUUUGUGAAUAUUUCACUUUUUUACUAUAAUUACAUGAUGGUAGCCUGUGAAUUAUCAAAUGAUAUGAAUUUGAUUUUCAAUGAAAAUGUAUAAAUGAAAAAAUAUAUUUAUUUUGAACUUCUCCACUCACUGGGCUAUCAACUCAUAUAUUUUUCCACGUUUUUCUUUAUCAGACAGCAGUUGAGAAUUUGGGCAUCUUUUGGAGUUGAGACUUGAUUUUGGAGUCAGAGCCACACGACAAAGUUUGUUAGUAUGAUUCACUUCAUAGAACAUGUAGUCAGUGUUUUGGGACGCAUGCUCAUGUCUAGAUGUGAUUUUGCAUCACUUGUAGAUAGUUAUGGGGCUCACUAUGUAUUAUGUAUCCAUAUGUAUAUUUCAUUGUAUUUCUUGGUAAAAGUGGAGAUUUCUGCUUAUCUUUAUUGUGUUGUGCUAUAGUUUGGAAUUUAUGUGAAAUUGAUCACAGGUUGGUUAGUCCUGUUUACAGGGGAGAUAAUGCCGAAAUUUUGUUAGAAAAAUGAUGUAUAAAAAGUGAUAUAUUGUAUUUGUAGUAGUCUUGAUGGUGGAUUCGACUUUUAGUUGGUAUCUAUCAUCGGCGCAUGCCACGUCCGGAUCUAUUGGUGUUACAUGGGGCGGGGUCUGUCAAUUUCUUACCAGGGUUCCCAGCAGUUGUUUUAUCAUCUUUCUCUCUUGGCAAUUUGCUAGGGACUCCUCUCCUUUUCUCUUGAGGCCAUUUUUUGCCCUUUAAAACUUUUUAGAAUUUUUUCACAAAGUAGACAAUCUCCUCAUCUCUAAGAGUUUCCAUGUCAGAUGAUUCAGACUCCCCUUCCCUAACAGUGUUUAGGGCUAUGGACUUGUUCUUUCUUGGUUGUGAAAUGGUGAGUUCAUAGGUUUGAAGGGAUCCUAUGAGUUCUUCUAUCUUAAUUGCAUCCAGAUUCUUGUUUUCUUCAAUAGCCGUAACUUUAGGUCUAAAUCUCUCGGGCAAGGAUCUAAGAACUUUCCUCACAAUUUUGGGCGCGGGAAUCCUCUCACCUAGGUUGAAACUAGAGUUAACAAUGUAAUUCUAUUUGGCAUAGAACUCAUCAAAAGAUUCAUCAUCCUUCAUCCUGAUUUCUUCAAACCUUGAGGUUAGCAUUUGCAAUUUUGAAUUUUUUAUAGUUUUAGUUCCCUCAUGCGUAGUUUCUAGAAUGUCCCAUACCUCUUUAGCAAUUUCACACAUUGAUACUCUCCUAAAUUCUUCGGGAGACACGGACAUAAACAAGGCAUGAAGUCCUUUGCUAUUCCAAUUGCAAUCAGCUAAUUCUUCCUUAGUCCAAAGUGAAACAUCAGUUAGAUUGACAACACCUGACACGGUUGUAGAAGGGGGUUUCCAACCAUUUUGUACGCUCACCCAAACACAUUCAUCUAAGGACUUAAGAAAAGCACGCAUCCUAACCUUCUAGUAGGCAUAGUUGCUUCCGUCAAAAUACGGAGGCACAGACAGUGAUUGACUCAUCUAGAAAACAAUGGGUCAGGACUUGAGUUCUGGCUCUAAUAUCACUUGAAAUAACGUAGUUCGACCCAAUCAACACCUAGAGGGAGGUUGCAUAGGUGUUUAUGCGGAAUUUUCUUUUUCAAUCAAUUAAUUAAUUAUUGCAACACGUCACAAAAAUUAAUUUGUCUAGAUCAGUUCAUAUGCUUUACUAUCCUAUGUUUGAAUAGCAGUCAUAAAUUAAUUGUAGAAAUAUAAAUAACACAAUUGUUUGAUGAUGGAGAAACCCCAAUGUGGGUAAAACUCCGGGCCCAAGCCAGUAGGAAUCCACUAUAAACGUAAAUGAAACUUACAAUCAGCCAAACUCAACCUACACUGGUUUUUCUAACAUCCUAACCAUAGUUUCCUCAAGCCCUUCUUGGAAUGUGUGAUCUUGCACCAACUUCAGGCACCUAGCCAUCUUGGAUUGCGUGCUACACCAAUUCCCAAGUCUUGAUUUUGUUUAUCUCCUGUGGAUUCAAGAGAACUGCCUGUUUUCUAAUGAUCGGGACUCCGAUCUCCUUUCUCGAUCUCCAAGAAUCAACAAAGGCACUAGAAGAUUGUGUUGUGGUGUUUGAUGAAUGUUGAUUUGAUCUUUUUCAUGUAAUUGAUCAAAUCAAAUAUAGGAUUGAAUGAGAAAGUUAAAGUGUAGGAGAGUUGUCCUUAAUUUCAAUACCUUCAAAGCACUAUCUGAAUUCGGCGCAGUUUUUUUUCAUGUAUAUCUCAUUUUGGUAUUUCCGGUCAGGUUAAAAUGUCGAAAAAAAGGAAAAUAGG